GACGAACGCUGGCGGCGUGCUUAACACAUGCAAGUCGAACGAUGAACCAGGGCUUGCCCCGGGAAUUAGUGGCGAACGGGUGAGUAACACGUGGACAACCUGCCCCAGACACCGGGAUAACCAUCCGAAAGGAUGGCUAAUACCGGAUACGACCACUUUGGGCAUCCAACGGUGGUGGAAAGGAUUCUGGUCUGGGAUGGGCCCGCGGCCUAUCAGCUUGUUGGUGGGGUAAUGGCCUACCAAGGCGACGACGGGUAGCCGGCCUGAGAGGGCGACCGGCCACACUGGGACUGAGACACGGCCCAGACUCCUACGGGAGGCAGCAGUGGGGAAUAUUGCGCAAUGGGCGAAAGCCUGACGCAGCGACGCCGCGUGAGGGACGAAGGUCUUCGGAUUGUAAACCUCUUUCAGCAGGGACGAAGCGAAAGUGACUGUACCUGCAGAAGAAGCACCGGCUAACUACGUGCCAGCAGCCGCGGUAAU
rnacentral:rRNA from 1 species